CCCGCUGAACUUAAGCAUAUCAAUAAGCGGAGGAAAAGAAACCAACAGGGAUUGCCUUAGUAACUGCGAGUGAAGCGGCAAAAGCUCAAAUUUGAAAACCGGCAACACCAGCCGGCAGUGUAAUUUGAAGGGACAUCUUCGGAGCUGGCGCCGUCUUAAGUUCUUUGGAACCGGACAUCAUAGAGGGUGAGAAUCCCGUGCCUGGGUGGCUGUCCUGCUCCGUGUGAAGUGUCUCCGACGAGUCGAGUUGUUUGGGAAUGCAGCUCAAAAUGGGUGGUAAAUUUCAUCUAAAGCUAAAUAUUGGCGAGAGACCGAUAGCGCACAAGUAGAGUGAUCGAAAGAUGAAAAGCACUUUGAAAAGAGAGUUAAAUAGUACGUGAAAUUGUUGAAAGGGAAGCGCUUGAGACUAGAUUCAGCCGGCGGUGAUCAGCUAUGCUUCUGCGUGGUGCACUUGCCGUCGGUUGAGCCAGCAUCGGUUUUGAUGGCGGGAUAAAGGUUUGAGGAAUGUGGCUCCCCGUUUCUGGGGAGUGUUAUAGCCUCGAGCGUAAUGCCGCCUGUUGGGACCGAGGACCGCGCUUCGGCUAGGAUGCUGGCGAAAAGGUCUUAAGCGGCCCGUCUUGAAACACGG
rnacentral:rRNA from 1 species